UUAAAACUCAGUAACAUUCUUUUCAUGAAUCUUGUUCUAUGUUUGAGUGUUCGUGUUUCGUAGUUGCCAAUCGUAGUUCAUAAUUAUCCUGAACAU